UACGUAGGGUGCAAGCGUUAAUCGGAAUUACUGGGCGUAAAGCGUGCGCAGGCGGUUCGGAAAGAGAGGUGUGAAAUCCCAGGGCUUAACCCUGGAACUGCACUUUUAACUACCGGGCUAGAGUACGUCAGAGGGGGGUAGAAUUCCACGUGUAGCAGUGAAAUGCGUAGAGAUGUGGAGGAAUACCGAUGGCGAAGGCAGCCCCCUGGGAUGAUACUGACGCUCAUGCACGAAAGCGUGGGGAGCAAACAGG
rnacentral:rRNA from 1 species